CGGGGUGAGUAACGCGUGGAUAACCUGCCUCACACUGGGGGAUAACAGUUAGAAAUGACUGCUAAUACCGCAUAAGCGCACAGUACCGCAUGGUACAGUGUGAAAAACUCCGGUGGUGUGAGAUGGAUCCGCGUCUGAUUAGCCAGUUGGCGGGGUAACGGCCCACCAAAGCGACGAUCAGUAGCCGACCUGAGAGGGUGACCGGCCACAUUGGGACUGAGACACGGUCCAA
rnacentral:rRNA from 1 species